UGUAGCCGUGCCCUUUCAGUAGCCCAGACUUUCACCGCGACGCUGCACAACGUAUAUCCGUCUGUACCGGCAACGGAUACUCUUCUCAAGCCUAGCCUGCCCAUCUGACCAGUUCAACUUAAAAACCGGUACGUCUGCACAUUCUACAAGGACACCUCAGCGCCAGCGUUACAGGGAACAAGACGCCCACUGCUUUGACCUCCGUGGCUUUGUCCAACAGCCUCGGUUUUGCCCAAGCCAUCGACCAACGCCCUAUCUGAAGUCGAGUAUCCCUAAGCCGCUUUUAGUGUUCGCGAUGUCAUCUGCAGACUUGGACGUGUUGUGCUCCCACCUUUCGAGCAUGUCAGCAGACACGCUGCAUUCUUUGGAUGAUAAAGGCCUUAACCUUCCGAAAGUCAGUGGAAUGUCCGUCGCAGAGGGCGUCAAUGCUAUCCGCGUCCACCUGGAAGCUAUGCGCGUCAUGAAGAACCGCCUGUCCUCCAUGGCCCGGAUAUACUGCUACCUGAUAGAGCUAAGCGUCCUACAGCCAUGGGUAGUUUAUCGUAUGGACCAUGUAUGCAGGAACUACGGUACUCAUUUUGGCAAAAUGAUGAUCCACCUGCAGCGCGGACGCGAGGUGGGGUUUCACACUUUGACGACUGUACCACACGCCUACUCCUGCUUGUUGACCCAGGACGAAGAGAGAGCGACUGAGCACAGGCUGUACUGCUUCUGCAUGUGGCCUUCGCUACCGUGCUUGGCCGUCUAUCAACCGCCAGAGGGGCGUUCAGCUCUCCUCACGCGUACGCUCCGAAGGUUCUUGCGGGGAGAUCCCGACUCGUUCACUUGCGGCACGUAUCGUGACCUGGUGUCGGCGGCUGAUGGAGCCCGAAUAUUUUUUCCCGGCCACUCCUAAAGACUGCGUUGCAUCCCUUCAACCACCGGCACAGCCAGCUCAAUCGCCAUCCAACCAGAGACCUUGUUCUCACAAAGACGAAGUCAUUUGACGGACCAAAAAAAGACGGCAAACAAGUUUUAAUUGGGCAAGGCAUGCCACAGAGGCUUUACCCAAGCAUGGAAUUUGAAGUCCGACGCCAACCACAGCUCUUACAUGCGCGCAUGCUACGAAAGAAACUGGUAUUGGAGGCUUCACCAACGCCUUCUGGAAAGCGGGAAGACUGAUUUUCCAAUGCGCUCACGUUGAGCGUCCAUAACCUGUUUUGGCAGAGUAGGAUUUCCUGCAACGACCACAAACAAGUGCUUCGGUUCUUUUUUUUAGACUCGUAUACAUGACGUGGCCACAUAUGCGCCGCCAAAGUUUUACAACAUGCGUGCCAUCAACGUUCUGUUUAGGCACACAGAAGAGGCACACAUUAAAUUUCCAAUAAAAAAUAUGUUGCCUCGUU
rnacentral:lncRNA from 1 species